AGAGUUUGAUCAUGGCUCAGGACGAACGCUGGCGGCGUGCUUAACACAUGCAAGUCGAGCGGAAAGGCCCUUUCGGGGGUACUCGAGCGGCGAACGGGUGAGUAACACGUGAGUAAUCUGCCCUGGACUUUGGGAUAGCCACCGGAAACGGUGAUUAAUACCGGAUACGACGACUCCACGCAUGUGGUGGUUGUGGAAAGUUUUUUCGGUUCAGGAUGUGCUCGCGGCCUAUCAGCUUGAUGGUGGGGUAAUGGCCUACCAUGGCUUCGACGGGUAGCCGGCCUGAGAGGGUGACCGGCCACACUGGGACUGAGACACGGCCCAGACUCCUACGGGAGGCAGCAGUGGGGAAUAUUGGACAAUGGGCGGAAGCCUGAUCCAGCAACGCCGCGUGAGGGAUGACGGCCUUCGGGUUGUAAACCUCUUUCAGUACCGACGAAGCGAAAGUGACGGUAGGUACAGAAGAAGCACCGGCCAACUACGUGCCAGCAGCCGCGGUAAUACGUAGGGUGCGAGCGUUGUCCGGAAUUAUUGGGCGUAAAGGGCUCGUAGGCGGUUUGUCGCGUCGGGAGUGAAAACACUGGGCUUAACUCAGUGCUUGCUUCCGAUACGGGCAGACUAGAGGUAUGCAGGGGAGAACGGAAUUCCUGGUGUAGCGGUGAAAUGCGCAGAUAUCAGGAGGAACACCGGUGGCGAAGGCGGUUCUCUGGGCAUUACCUGACGCUGAGGAGCGAAAGUGUGGGGGAGCGAACAGGAUUAGAUACCCUGGUAGUCCACACCGUAAACGUUGGGCGCUAGGUGUGGGAUCCAUUCCACGGGUUCCGUGCCGCAGCUAACGCAUUAAGCGCCCCGCCUGGGGAGUACGGCCGCAAGGCUAAAACUCAAAGGAAUUGACGG
rnacentral:rRNA from 1 species